CAACAGAUCAAACAUCAAAUCAGUCUACAGAUCAGUCUAUACAUCCAUCUGCAGAAUGAUAGCAAGAAAAGAACUUUGUUAAUUCCAAAACUCAUCCUACAUUUUAUAAUCUACUAGUCGAGUGAGAUCCAUCAAGACUGCUCCCUGGACAUUCUGUGCAAAGAUUUCUCUGAUGUAGAACUCUGCCAGGAUCACAUUAACAGCAUGUUCUUGUCCAAACUUUCAAUAGCAUUGAUUCUUCUUAUAUGAAUGAGAUUUUAGGCCCUGGCUCAGAUGUCCAAAUGGUUCGAGGCAAGCACGCCUUUUUUAUGAACCAUGUGACCCGAGAAAGGCUUUUAUCUCGUGGCCAGGAUGAGAAAUUGGCUCUUCACCGACCUCUCUGUCAGGAGGCCCACGUCGACUAAGUGAUCAUUUAUUCACACCCGUCUUGGCAUGUUGCACGUUCUUCCGAACCUCUGCAUGAAUUCCUCCUUUCAUGUGUGGCUGGAAGCUCAAGCCCCACGUGGGGGCCAUCCUUAUGCCUAUGCUGUCCCAUCGUACCCGUGAUGGGACAAUCACCAUACGUAUGGGCCCCUUUGUAAACGGG